GCAUAGGUGGUUCACUGGUAGAAUUGUCGCCUGCCACGCGGGAGACCAGAGUAUGAUUCCUGGCCAAUGCA
rfam:Danio rerio chromosome 4, GRCz11 reference primary assembly.